UAGUGGCGAACGGGUGAGUAACACGUGGGCAAUCUGCCCUUCACUCUGGGACAAGCCCUGGAAACGGGGUCUAAUACCGGAUAACACUCUCACGGGCAUCUGUGAGGGUUAAAAGCUCCGGCGGUGAAGGAUGAGCCCGCGGCCUAUCAGCUUGUUGGUGAGGUAAUGGCUCACCAAGGCGACGACGGGUAGCCGGCCUGAGAGGGCGACCGGCCACACUGGGACUGAGACACGGCCCAGACUCCUACGGGAGGCAGCAGUGGGGAAUAUUGCACAAUGGGCGAAAGCCUGAUGCAGCGACGCCGCGUGAGGGAUGACGGCCUUCGGGUUGUAAACCUCUUUCAGCAGGGAAGAAGCGAAAGUGACGGUACCUGCAGAAGAAGCGCCGGCUAACUACGUGCCAGCAGCCGCGGUAAUACGUAGGGCGCAAGCGUUGUCCGGAAUUAUUGGGCGUAAAGAGCUCGUAGGCGGCUUGUCACGUCGAUUGUGAAAGCCCGAGGCUUAACCUCGGGUCUGCAGUCGAUACGGGCUAGCUAGAGUGUGGUAGGGGAGAUCGGAAUUCCU
rnacentral:rRNA from 2 species